GUCUCUCGCAUCUCUCUAUUUUGUAUCUUCCUCUCUCUCUCUCUCUCUCUAAAUUUCUAUCACCUCUCUCCCUUCCGCAACUCUCCCUCCAGAUUUGCUUUGCUAUUACCAUUCUCUCUCCAUGCUCUCCCUCUAGAUUUGCUGCACUCCCUAUCUCAUGGCAAAAUAACUCCAACCAUCAAAAGAAUUUUGGUAUGAAUUUAGAUUUUCGUUUUCUCUGUACUUUGUUUAUUUUCUUUGAAUAAGAAUAUUUGGGUUUUUUUGGCUCUUGAACAUUCUCUUCUUUUGAGUUUAUAACUUCAACCACCAAAAGAACUGGGGUAUGAAUUUAGAUUUUUGUUUUCUCUAUACUUUGUUUAUUUUCUUUGAAUAAGAAUAUUUGGGUUUUUUUUGCUCUUGAACACUCUCUUCGUUUGGGUUUAUAGCCUAUUGCAAAAUGCAGGGCAUCCAAUGACUCUGAGCUUUUGUAAGUGCUUUUUAACAUGUCCUAGAUUUAUAAAAUAUUCUUCUUAUGCAGGUAUGCCCUAUUAGGUUUCUUUCUUAUGUUAAAUCUAUUUUCAAAAUUAGUUUUUGGAGUCCACAAUUUCUAAUUUUUAUGUACUCAUUAACAGAUGAGAAUUAAAUCAGUAAAUAAAAGAAAAAACUUAAAUUCAAGUAUGUGAAAAAGAACGAUUUGGGUUUAUCUUUAGAAAGAACGGUUUAAAUGUGGUUGUUUCUUUUGGAAGAAAAUAAAAUAUGUAUCUUUUGUUUUAGAGCUAUAAAACACUAAACUGUGAUACAAGUGAGUUGUAAAAAUUAGGUUUUUCUUGUGUAUCCCCAUACGCAAAGGGCACUUGCUAACAUUGUAGAGAGUAAAACACCAAAUAUUUCUGUCUUGAUACAACUUACUAUGGCGUGGGCAUUGUAGCCCCUAUGGAUUAUCCAUGUGUAUGAUAUAUUUUGUGUUGAAUUAUCCAUGUAUAAUAAAUUUUGGUCCAUUAUCCAUAUGUAUGAUAAAUAUUUUUGUUGUUACUAUUGCAAAGCACAUGUUCAACUUUAAAUGCUUUUUCUUGGAUUAUAUGUCAUGGAUAAAAAAGAAUGGAAGAUUCUUUACAGGAAGCCACACUUUCUUCAUUACCCCAAGCAGAGAUGUUAGAAAUUAGCAAUGAUCUAAUACCAUUCACUGGGCAAAUUUUUACAACUGAUUGAGGCAUAUGAAUUUUAUAAAAAAUUUGCAAAAAAUCUGGGUUUUUCCAUUCGAAGACAGCAAUCAAUUAGAAAAAAAGGCGAUAUUGUUAGAAGGUUUUAUGCAUGACAUCGUGCUGGCUACAUGACACAUAAGGGACCAAGUGAAAAGAAAGGAGUAAGGAAUUUCAAGCUAACGAGAUGUGGUUAUGGCGCCCGCAUGACAAUUAGGAAAGUAAUUGUUUCAACUUUCUCAUAUUGGAGCAUGGCGACAAUUGUGAAUGAACACAAUCACGACUUAUUGCAACCACAAGAAGUGACCUAAAGCCACAAACCCCACUCAAGGAAGUCACACAUCAAAUUAAAGAUGUUGUAAACACCAGAGAUCAAGUAAUUUUUUGGCAUACAAUGAAUCAAAAGGACUUGUGGCAUCAUCCCAAUAUGCAAUAAAUCAGAUCGAUGAAGCAACUUAUGAGGUUACUCACUAUUCAAAGAAGUAACAUGGGCAUAAGGUUACUUUAAUGCCCGAGGAUAUGAUUUUUUUGCAGCUGCCAAAAAUUCGAGUUUACAGGUAUUAUCUGCAAACAUGCCAUUCGAGUUCUCCAUAAAGUGUGUAACGUUUUCCAACUUCCAGAGCAAUACUUGCCAAUACGUUGGAGGCGUAUCAUAUCAGUGGUUCGAAGUGUUGCUUCGAGCACUUCAAGAGGGUAUCUUGAAUGGGUUCAGACAUUGCAAUCGAUGGCUUCAAUAAUUUAAAUUGUGCAUCGCUCUGAAUGGGUUCAGACAUUGCAAUGGAUGGCUUCAAUAAUUUCAUCAAAUUGUGCAAGAAUCAA